UAAAUAUAAAUCUCGACUAUGAUUGGAUAAUGGGGUGAAGGUGCUAAUUACAAAACGUCAAUCAUCCUUAAUGGGCGAAAACAAAUUUGUCAUUGCCAUUUGGACAGGCGUUCCCUCAGUUCCCGCCCGUCAGCUAAACGCCUGCUACGCAGGCUACUACAAAGCUAACAGGCAAUAUUGGCAUUUCCGGUAGUUGUAAUGUAUUUUGCACUGUAAUUUUCCCAUUUUAAGAAGCAAAUGCUAUAACAUAUGACUAAACAAGACUAUUCUUCGUCACCGACCAGGCAAAUUUAUAUGAAAUUACUGGUAUGGGCAGUGCAUGUGUCGAAAGUUCGCAGUUCUCUAUCUUGUGCAAAAGUUGAUAUACAUGUAUGUGUUAUUGUUACUCUGGAGUUGAACAACUUCACUGUAUGCUAGUCACACCAUAGAAGUCGAAAUUAUAUUAUAUAGAUAUCCAUUAUCCCCAACCAACAGGCUUUUUCUGAAUUAAGGUCGAACCCCACAGGCAAUAGCCUAUGACGCACGACGUUUUCACGAGGUCUCGUCUUGGCGUCAUUAUUCUUGACAACUAAGGGACCGGUCAUUAUUUAAGUUGGGGAGGGGGGAGAGAAAAUAGGGGGUUUGGAAAACAUGACUUCAAGGAAAGGGGGGGGGGGGUGAAAUAUAUGUAUCAAUAUAUGUACCCCCCCCCCCCCCCCCAACUUAAAUAAUGACCGGUCCCCAAUGUAGAGCGCAUUUCGGAAUUGGACUAUUGUGACAAGUAAUUGUAAUAAGUAACUGUGACUGCAUUUUAUAGAAAUGUACCAUUCCGAGUACGAGUGCGGUUGGCACGCCGUAGAAACGAGGACGAAGAUUCCCCACACAAGUUCUAUACAUUGGUAACACACGUUCCAGUAGCUUCUUUCAAAGGUAAAAACUAUUUAAAUUAAUUUAUUUUUAUUUAAUGAAAAUUUAUAAACAGUGAUAACAAAAAUGUUCUUUCAAACGUCGGUCAGACUAUAACGCUGAAAUAGCUGGUGGAACUUGUCGUUUGUUGGUAGUAAUUUUUAACUUUGUUCAUAUUUUUGUGCACAGUUAUGUCCUUCAUUUAUUAUAUCAUGUCCCCAUCAACCUCCGGCGAAACUAGCUGUUGGGGUAUUAAAAAUAUAACUACCGAUAAUAUCACAGGGGGCAGAAAAGUACGAUUGUGUUUAUUUAAAAUACCUUGUCAUAAAACCUAUAUAUCGCAUAGUUUCAUCCAGGUUUCAUCACGUUGAAAAUUAUGUUGAUUUUUAAAAAAAAUUUCGAUAAUAUCAUGCCUACUACUUCAUGUAAUUCAAACAUUGUAUGUGUGAUACACAUAGUAGCGUGGGCUCGUAGCCAUAGUAACGUGGGCUCAUACUAGAAUGAUUGGCUUUGUUUACACGUACAAAUACCCUCGGCAUCCUUUCGUAAGAUGUUCGGAAAUUGUCGUUGCAAUGCAAUGAUGUUUGAACUACAUGAAGUAGAAGGCAUGAUAUUCGAUCCUUUUGUGACUUUGUCUGCGGAUUGUUGUGAUAUAAAUAUGCGAUAUUAGUUGAUGACAAGGUAUUUAUAAAACACAAUUGUACUUCUCUGCCCCCUGUGUAAUAUCGAUAAAUUAUAUUUUACUUUUAACUCCAAAAAGACGCAAAAUAUUUAACCUAAUUUUUCCCAGUCCAAAGCCGGUUACAGACGAGCAAGUUUUCUAUGACAAGUUUUUAUAUUACAAGUUUUAUUUGCUCGUCUGUACGCGCAACUUUGACAAUUUUUUCUAUGACACACUCACUUGUUCAAAAGCUAGCAUGCUAUUUUUUUCAAAGUACAAAUUUUGUUCGUCUUUAUGGGUCAACAAAGUAAGUUGUCAAAGUAAUCUGAGCAUUUGAUGUGAUUGGCCAGCGAACUAUUAUAAUUUUUCUGUCAUGGCGGCGAUAAACACCUUUUUCUGACACGUUCACACCAGUAAAUAUAACUUGUCAUAUGAAAACUUGUCAUAUAAAAUUUGUUGCAUAUACACACGUGCACUUGGCAAAUAAAACUUGUCACAUAAAAACUUGUCAUAGAAAACGUGGUCGUCUGUAUCCGGUUUAAUUGCACAGUGCCUUGACAUUUCAAAACAGUAACACAAAGGGGUGCAGCUUUAUGCGUGCGCUGGGGACAUUACACAGGUCACGUUGAAAACGAAAUAGUUUUGAGGGCCAAAAUUCGUAACAGUUCGACUUUAGUUAUAGUCGAACUGGGAAAAUUUAGCUACCUUUUUAAAGGCUUUAAUGCAAAUGCCCAUGCUCAAUACCGGCCAGAUUCGUAUUGUCGGGAUAUCGAUACUUCAAAAUGCAUUAUCGAAUAAACCCACAUAAUGUGUUGACUUAUCACUCUCGAAAUCCAUUUUUUUAUUUGGAACGCCAAUUCAAAACAAAAAAUAAAACAGAUACAACAUGAGAUACUAAUGAAAUUAUCAGCAAGACUCUGUUGCCGUUCCAAGAUUUAUAUGCUCCUUUCAAAUUACAAUUAUAUAUACACAAAGAAAUUAUUUAUAUUUGUUAGCAUUAUUAUUAUUAGUAAAAUAUAUUUUGUGUUCUGUGACUAAUUGUUUUCUAAUUUUUGAGAAGAUUUGAAAGGGAGCUGGCUCCCUGAAAUAACCACAGGGCUAUAUAAAUAUCAGGGAACCAAACAAAGGACGAAAAAUUUAUGAAAAUUGACAAUAUAGUUCUAUAUCAAAUAAAUUUUAAAAGAUCGAGAAAGGAGUCCUGACGGGAGAUAACGUAUAGAAAAAGUUGGAAAUCAAUAUAGUUGGAAAGUUGGAAAUCAAAAAAAUUGGAAAUCAUGUAUCAGAGAGCGACUGUUGACCACUUGGUCAACAGGCGACUGUUGACCACUUGGUCAACAGUCGCUCUCUGAUCCAUGACCAAGCUCAAUGAACACACUGCACACAUACCCCUUCCCUACCAGAUUUGAUAUAGGAUCAACCCAGUCCAUAUAGCUUGCUAUAGCAUGCGAUUCUUUUGGUUCUUCGGUUUAGCUUAAUUGAUUGUCCUUAAUUCCAUUAAUGUUUUGACAUGAUUGUACUGUAUAUUCAAUUUUAUUUAUUAUUUCAUUUUAGGCUUAGAAACCAAGAUUGUAGAAGCUGAUGACUAAGUUAACGUGAAAUUGUGUAAUAAAGUGUUCAAUAAUAUUAAUUUGUUGUUGUAUCUUGUCUCUAUUUCUGUAUAUUAUACACGUCAGUCUCCACCCUUUUAGUACAAAGUAAUUUA
rnacentral:lncRNA from 1 species